rnacentral:lncRNA from 12 species
GAGCUCAAACAAGGGAACAAGCUGCUGCACCCCAUAGCUCAAACACUUUCCAUGCUGAUUUUUUUUUUUUGGCUCAGAAGCCAACCACUGCACAGACAAGUGUAGGAUGCUGCGCUGCUCCAGUCCUUGAUUAAAUCCAAUUCCCAAUCCCCCAAAGCUGCCCAUUCCCAGUUCCCCGUGGCUGAAGAGUUGCCUAUUGUGAAUGUGUCACUGCAGCAGCCGCCAGCUGGCACGUCAGCAUUUCCAUUGCAAGCCUAUUUUUAAAGGUCUGGAACUCAACCAUGGAAGACAAAUGUUUUGGAGUGUGUCCCGGGAAAGUUUGUCCUUCAGAAAAUAAAAAUCAGCUUGGUGACACUGAACCUGAACCAUGGCAAGGACAGCAGAGCUCUCCCCUGGAAAGCCAAGCAGUGGGAACAGAGGAAUAUCUGGAUAGUGCCUCAUUUAGCAGGAGCUCAGGAAGGAGGCUGCAAAAAGCAAAGUUUGAGGAAGCUGCUCUUGCUUGUUUCAUUCUGCUUUUGCCACUCUGGUAACGCCCCUGGAAGGGAACAGGUACAAAUUU